ACGAAGGGGGCUAGCGUUGCUCGGAAUUACUGGGCGUAAAGGGCGCGUAGGCGGCGCAUCAAGUCAGGCGUGAAAUUCCUGGGCUCAACCUGGGGGCUGCGCUUGAGACUGGUGUGCUUGAGGAUGGAAGAGGCUCGUGGAAUUCCCAGUGUAGAGGUGAAAUUCGUAGAUAUUGGGAAGAACACCGGUGGCGAAGGCGGCGAGCUGGUCCAUUUCUGACGCUGAGGCGCGAUAGCGUGGGGAGCAAACAG
rnacentral:rRNA from 1 species